CCUACGGGAUGCAGCAGUGGGGAAUAUUGCACAAUGGGCGCAAGCCUGAUGCAGCCAUGCCGCGUGUAUGAAGAAGGCCUUCGGGUUGUAAAGUACUUUCAGCGGGGAGGAAGGCGAUAAGGUUAAUAACCUUGUCGAUUGACGUUACCCGCAGAAGAAGCACCGGCUAACUCCGUGCCAGCAGCCGCGGUAAUACGGAGGGUGCAAGCGUUAAUCGGAAUUACUGGGCGUAAAGCGCACGCAGGCGGUCUGUCAAGUCGGAUGUGAAAUCCCCGGGCUCAACCUGGGAACUGCAUUCGAAACUGGCAGGCUGGAGUCUUGUAGAGGGGGGUAGAAUUCCAGGUGUAGCGGUGAAAUGCGUAGAGAUCUGAGGAGUACCGGUGGCGAAGGCGGCCCCCUGGACAAAGACUGACGCUCAGGUGCGAAAGCAUGGGGAGCAAACAGGAUUUGAUACCCUCGUAGUC
rnacentral:rRNA from 1 species